CAGGGAAUAUUGCACAAUGGGCGAAAGCCUGAUGCAGCAACGCCGCGUGAGGGAUGAAGGUCUUCGGAUUGUAAACCUCUUUUUCGGGGGAAGAGAAGGGACGGUACCCCGAGAAUAAGCAACGGCUAACUACGUGCCAGCAGCCGCGGUAAUACGUAGGUUGCGAGCGUUAUUCGGAUUUACUGGGCGUAAAGCGCACCGAGGUGGCUUCUUAAGUUGGAUGUGAAAUCUCCCGGCUCAACUGGGAGGCGCCACUCAAAACUGGGGAGCUUGAGACCAGCAGGGGAAAGUGGAAUUCCCGGUGUAGUGGUGGAAUGCGUAGAGAUCGGGAGGAACACCAGUGGCGAAAGCGACUUUCUGGGCUGCGUCUGACACUCUAGUGCGAAAGCGUGGGGAGCAAACAG
rnacentral:rRNA from 1 species